UUGAACGCUGGCGGCAGGCCUAACACAUGCAAGUCGAGCGGUAGCACAGAGAGCUUGCUCUCGGGUGACGAGCGGCGGACGGGUGAGUAAUGUCUGGGAAACUGCCUGAUGGAGGGGGAUAACUACUGGAAACGGUAGCUAAUACCGCAUAAUGUCGCAAGACCAAAGUGGGGGACCUUCGGGCCUCAUGCCAUCAGAUGUGCCCAGAUGGGAUUAGCUAGUAGGUGGGGUAACGGCUCACCUAGGCGACGAUCCCUAGCUGGUCUGAGAGGAUGACCAGCCACACUGGAACUGAGACACGGUCCAGACUCCUACGGGAGGCAGCAGUGGGGAAUAUUGCACAAUGGGCGCAAGCCUGAUGCAGCCAUGCCGCGUGUGUGAAGAAGGCCUUCGGGUUGUAAAGCACUUUCAGCGGGGAGGAAGGCGUUAAGGUUAAUAACCUUGGCGAUUGACGUUACCCGCAGAAGAAGCACCGGCUAACUCCGUGCCAGCAGCCGCGGUAAUACGGAGGGUGCAAGCGUUAAUCGGAAUUACUGGGCGUAAAGCGCACGCAGGCGGUCUGUCAAGUCGGAUGUGAAAUCCCCGGGCUCAACCUGGGAACUGCAUUCGAAACUGGCAGGCUAGAGUCUUGUAGAGGGGGGUAGAAUUCCAGGUGUAGCGGUGAAAUGCGUAGAGAUCUGGAGGAAUACCGGUGGCGAAGGCGGCCCCCUGGACAAAGACUGACGCUCAGGUGCGAAAGCGUGGGGAGCAAACAGGAUUAGAUACCCUGGUAGUCCACGCCGUAAACGAUGUCGAUUUGGAGGUUGUGCCCUUGAGGCGUGGCUUCCGGAGCUAACGCGUUAAAUCGACCGCCUGGGGAGUACGGCCGCAAGGUUAAAACUCAAAUGAAUUGACGGGGGCCCGCUCAAGCGGUGGAGCAUGUGGUUUAAUUCGAUGCAACGCGAAGAACCUUACCUGGUCUUGACAUCCACAGAACUUAGCAGAGAUGCUUUGGUGCCUUCGGGAACUGUGAGACAGGUGCUGCAUGGCUGUCGUCAGCUCGUGUUGUGAAAUGUUGGGUUAAGUCCCGCAACGAGCGCAACCCUUAUCCUUUGUUGCCAGCGGUUAGGCCGGGAACUCAAAGGAGACUGCCAGUGAUAAACUGGAGGAAGGUGGGGAUGACGUCAAGUCAUCAUGGCCCUUACGACCAGGGCUACACACGUGCUACAAUGGCAUAUACAAAGAGAAGCGACCUCGCGAGAGCAAGCGGACCUCAUAAAGUAUGUCGUAGUCCGGAUUGGAGUCUGCAACUCGACUCCAUGAAGUCGGAAUCGCUAGUAAUCGUAGAUCAGAAUGCUACGGUGAAUACGUUCCCGGGCCUUGUACACACCGCCCGUCACACCAUGGGAGUGGGUUGCAAAAGAAGUAGGUAGCUUAACCUUCGGGAGGGCGCUUACCACUUUGUGAUUCAUGACUGGGGUG
rnacentral:rRNA from 1 species